ACAGGGAUGAAAAACUUGGCCAUCCAUCAUCUUGAGAAUGCAGGUGUACAAGUGACACGAUGUUGACAUUGGGUGUCCAUUGUUUUCUUGCAAUUCUGCGCUGGCGGUAAUCAUCCAGAAAAAUGGGCUGCAUCACGAGAGCAACUCGUUGUCUCGACACUACUUACAUUUGGUUGGAAGGAACAUAUAAAAAAUAAAAUAAAAUAAAAAAUAAAAAAAUCUAACAAAAAAAAGAAGACAGAAACGAGAACUAGAUGACCGACAAUCAUCAUGAAGCCUCGAAAUCCAAAGGCCGCUUCAUGUAGACCGUGAUUGAUCAUUCAACUGGCGCCGGCAGAUUGGCCUCUAGCCUGUGCCGUGAAUCAUUAAAUCAUUUCCCGUUGGCCUGGAAUAUAAAGGGUUAACGAGCCACCCAAAGUUAAGGGUAAAGUAAGAACACAAAAACCCCCUUGUUUCGCAUGAAAUAGUCUAAGGUCUUUUAUUAUUCAAGUUGGAGUCUUAAUCAAUUUUCUGUCCUGAUUUGAUAUGCUCUAAGGAUGCAAAACAUCUACCUCGUUUCUAGUGCAAUGGCCUUAUUCACUAAUGAAUUGAUUGAUAGGUUAAAAGCGCUUACCUGGAAGAGAUUAACGAAGAACUGAUAGGAACUCGCCAGGUGGCACGUUUUCCAAUAAACCCGUCGAACUCAUUUCUAAGAAAAAUAAUGGAUGUCUUGGAUCCUGAGGAAAGAUACACGUUUUUUUUUUCAGUGAAUUUUCAACUAUAGAAAUCUAAUAUCUCGCCACAGAAAAAUAUGCACUGUUUUACAAAUGUAAAAAUUUUUCUGG